CAGCUUAGCUAACCCUUAAGUAGGACUACAUUUCGUGUUGUACCAAGCAAUCUACUUUCCUAACUCCAUCCAUAGCCGGCGGCGGUGUGAAAUCAUAAACGCAAUCAAGCAAUGCUACGCCUACGACAUAGAGAUUAAGUCAGACGAAACUCUCAUCAGCAACAGCAUGCCAUCCUUUUCCCUGCAUCCCUCAGUAUAUCUGAAUAUCUGAUUUCCGGAACAUCAGCUCACAAGUCAGGCCUAUCAAGUCAAACAGAUGCUUCGGGUGAGGAGAUGGCAUCCGUCCCGUCGAAGGACGGACAAACUCGGCGGAUGGAGUUCAUCGUCGCACGCCCACACAUAAUCCGCAUAAUCUGCAUGCAAAUAUAUGUAAAUUUAUUAAUAGUUGUGUGUGUACGAACAGCAAGUUUUUGGAAACGAACAAAUAAAUAGACAAUUCGAAAAGACAAA
rnacentral:sRNA from 1 species